rnacentral:lncRNA from 1 species
UACCUAUAAUCAUAUUUCAUUUAUCACCUCUUUUGUCUUCAGGUUGAGACUGUUCCCUGUAACUUCAAGUCUUUUUUCCAAGCUUGAGCCUUCUCAUUUUCGAAUCUGUGCAUACAUAUAUAUGGACCCUGGACUGGCGAAGCGUAUGCAUUCCUGAUUCCAUUGUUGGCAGAAAAGUUAUAUCUGACAUCUAGUCUAUAUGGCUCUAGUUUAGUUGGUUCUAGUUUAAUUUAUGGGAACAUUGGUUCUCAUUUAUGGCAACAUUGGUUCUCUACUCUCUGAUUAUAUGUGUCGUCUAGUCUAGUCUGCUAGUACUAUCUUCCAUGCUCAGAUUAUAUAAUACAAUAUGAAAAUUUGUUAAACAUCUAAGCAAUGAAAUUCUGUUUGUAGUUUCUCAUUAUUUAAGCAAGGAAAUUAUGGAGCUAGCUUUCUUAUGUAUCCAUCUGUUCAUUGUUUUUCCGCAUCUAACCCUUGGACCAAUUCAUCUGUUUAUUAUAGGGACCUAAUCUCGCGGAAGACGGGCGACCAUGCUUUGCUGCCACAAGUCUCCUCCACUUUGUGCAGCCCGCAAACAUGUCUUGGAGCAUUCGCCGAUCAAACGUGUGUUUAUGUUGUGAUGAGCCGUUAACUUUUGUUGACCGAAUAUCUUGUAUUUUUCAUUUGGACCGUGGUAUGUGGCAUGUGUAUGUUUUUCAUUUGGACCGUGGAAUGUAUGCAU